GUCGGUAGCGGCCCGCGCGCGCCGCCAGCCGGGGGCUCGCGCCAGCCACGAGGGAGCGUCCGCGGCUCACGCUCCCGCGCUGCGGAGGAGAGGUUAUGAGUAUGAUGCUUCCAUAUACGUUUGGAUGUUUUCAGCUAAGUUCACUUCUGAACUGUGGGGCUCCUCCAAGUGUUGACUGAAAUCUGUCCUUGAGCAUCCCCACGCUCAUCUAAUCUACAGUCCAUAAUGGAGCCACUGUACUGGCUUUUGGAAGGAGGAGAUUCUGAAGAUAGGGAGAUUCAGCAAUCAGUCUUUGAAAUUUCCUGUGGUCUGUUCAAUCUAGAUGCAAAGGACAUGGAAAAAUCAAGUGCUCAAGUGGUUUAAAUAUGUUUUGGAUAUUUUUAUUUAUAGAUUACAGGAUUUUUCCAAUUAAAAUCCGCAGUUGUCAUGCAGAAGGGGGUUAUGCCCUUUUUGAUCCCCCGUUUAUUUGAAAUGCUUAGCCUUAUAGUGUGUUACUGAAUGCUGUUUUAAUCAAAGUAUAGAAAAAUAAAAACAAUUUUGUAUGUUGAAAAAAAAAAAAAAAAAAAAAAAAAAAAAAAAAAAA
rnacentral:lncRNA from 1 species